GGAUCACUCUUGGCGAUCUGGCUGCGACAUCUGUCACCCCAUUGAUCACCAGGGUUGAUUUGCUGAUCUGUCUGGCUAGGCGGGUAUCUCCUUCCUCCCUCACCGCUCCAUGUGCAUCCCUCCCGAAGCUGCUCACUGGGUGGAAGAGGAGGAACAUCCCCGCUAGAGGAGGACCGGUCUUGGGUCAAGGGUAUACGAGUAGCUGCUCUCCCCUGCUAGAACCUCCAAACAAGCUCUCAAGGUGCACAUUUUACUUCUAAAACAGUUUGUGCUGUUCCUUGUGAUAGUUCAUUGAGACCAUCUCUUUG
rnacentral:snRNA from 1 species